rnacentral:lncRNA from 1 species
AAUAAAAUUGAGUGUUGGUGACAAUGUGCAUCAACAGAAGUUGAAGACCGAUGCUUCAACAAAAUUGAUUAUUGGUGACAAAGUGCAUCAAUAGGAGCUGGAGAUAGGUGCUUCAACAAAAUUGGGUGUCGGUGACAAAGUACAUCAACGAGGGUUGGAGACAUAUGUUUCAACAAAAGUAGAAGCUGAAGAAAAAUCCUCCAACACAAUAACAACAAAAACAUAAGAUGUGUAUAACUUUGAAUUGCGGGAGAAUGAUGAAAAUUAAUUUAAAGUUAUAGCAGAAAAUCAAAAUUUUCAGAAUUUGAUUUAAUUAAUUAAUGUCUAAAUAAAAAAAUUUCUCAUAAUUUUAUAUGAAUUGAUUUUACUGCUCUAGUUAAAAUAUAUUUCGUAUUAUUAUAAAUAGAAGUAAUUAUAUCUUAUUUUAUAUGUGAAAAAUGUAAAAAAUUAUAGAAAAUUCGUCAGAGAGAUUUAUAAUAAAAUACUUUUCCUUCAAAAUUGUAUACAAAACUUUCGUUACAAAAAAAAAUAAGUUUUUAACGGUAGUUGUCAAUCAUAUUUUUAAUGUAAUAGGCAAGUUGGAAAUUAGAUAGAUCUACAAAUUGAUGAAUGCCUCUCUUUCUAUGCCUCUCUUUGGGAGCUGAUGAUAAGUGCAACGAUAAUUGGAUAUUGGUGACGAAGUGUAUUAACGGGAGUUGGAGACAAGUGUUUCAAUAAAAUUGAGUGUUGGUGACAAUGUGCAUCAACGGAAGUUGAAGACCGAUGCUUCAACAAAAUUGAUUAUUGGUGACAAAGUACAUCAAUAGGAAUUGGAGAUAGGUGCUUCAACAAAAUUGGGUGUCGGUGACAAAGUACAUCAACGAGGGUUGGAGACAUAUGCUUCAACAAAAGUAGAAGCUGAAGAAAAAUCCUCCAACACAAUAACAACAAAAACGCAAGACGUGUAUAAUUUUGAAUUGCGGUAGAAUGCUGAAAAUUAAUUUAAAAUUAUAGCAGAAAAUCAAAAUUAUUCAAAAGUUGAUUUAAUUAAUUAAUGUCUAAAUAAAAUUUCUUUUCAUAAUUAUAUAUGAAUAGAUUUUACUGUUCUAGUUAAAAUAUAUUUCGUAUUAUUAUAAAUAGAAGUAUUGAUAUCUUAUUUUAUAUG